GACGAACGCUGGCGGCGUGCCUAAUACAUGCAAGUCGAACGCAGUGGGGACGGGUGAGAACACGUGGGUAACCUCCCAUCAGAGGGGAUAAAACGUGGACACAGGUGCUAAACCGAUACUGAUGGAUGGACCCGCGGGGCAUUAGCUCGUUGGUGAGGUAACGGCUCACCAAGGCCACGAUGCAUAACCGACCUGAGAGGAUGACCGGCCACACUGGAACUGAGAAACGGCCCAGACUCCUACGGGAGGCAGCAGUAGGGAAUCGUCGGCAAUGGGCGAAAGUCUGACCGAGCAACGCCGCGUGUGUGAAGAAGGUUUUCGGAUCGUAAAACACUUUUGUUAGAGAAGCGGUAUCUAACCAGAAAGCCACGGCUAACUACGUGCCAGCAGCCGCGGUAAUUC
rnacentral:rRNA from 1 species